AUGGAAGGCGGACAGAACUUACAAGGAAUUCAAAUAGCUUCGACGGAUCCGGAUCAUGGAUGAACGAGAACCUCAAUAGACAGAUCUCAAAUGAGAGCUUCUCGACAAUAAAACCCGAACGACCUCAAACGGACCUCUCCUUGGCACAGAGGAAACUUUUGGUGUUCUUGCGGAUGGAUUUUUGGUCUUUGUUGAUAGAAGAAGAUGAAGUUAUGGUCUCUCUUGAAGAUCAAAUUAUGGGGGAGGUCAUGUGUUUUGAAGAACAACGCUUGACUCCUAGGCAUUAGGAAAAAAUUAUUUGUCUUUUUUCGCUGAUGUUUUUCAGCUCCUAAAGCAUCUGGGUUUGAUUUUUUUUGUGUGUUUGUAGCUCAUGAAGAUGACGAACAGUAGGGGUUCUAAUCUUUGCUGAAGAC
rnacentral:lncRNA from 1 species